UAGGGAAUUGUUCGCAAUGGGCGCAAGCCUGACGACGCAACGCCGCGUGGAGGAUGAAGGACUUCGGUCCGUAAACUCCUUUCGACCGAGAUGAACAGCUUUUGACCUAAUACGUCGAGAGCCUGACAGUAUCGAGGGAAGCAGCCCCGGCUAACUCCGUGCCAGCAGCCGCGGUAAUACGGGGGGGGCAAGCGUUGUUCGGAAUUACUGGGCGUAAAGGGUUCGUAGGUGGCCAACUAAGUCAGACGUGAAAUCCCUCAGCUUAACUGGGGAACUGCGUCUGAUACUGGUUGGCUUGAGUGCAGGAGAGGAACGCGGAAUUCCAGGUGUAGCGGUGAAAUGCGUAGAUAUCUGGAGGAACACCGGUGGCGAAGGCGGCGUUCUGGACUGCAACUGACACUGAGGAACGAAAGCCAGGGGAGCAAAC
rnacentral:rRNA from 1 species